UAUUAAAAAUUGCAUAUAUUUGUACUGUUAAAAUUCGGUGUGUUUGACGAAAUAACUGACCUACAAGGACCAAUUUUUAACUGUAGAAAUGGAUGGAAUUUUUAACA
rnacentral:pre_miRNA from 1 species